AGUGGACAGAUUGAGGAACUUCCUAGAUCACUGAGAGCUAAGCACCAUGCAUAGACAACAACAGUUUGUUCUUGCCUGUGUUGCUUUUAGGGACUUUGACUACCACGUGUUCUUUUCUUGGGGUGAUUUAAUCACCUGGGAGCAUCUGAGUCUGCUCCUAAGUGGCUUUGCAACUGGGCCUAAGUUCUGUUUCCUUUAUGGAUCUCAAAUUUUCAUCUGCAAAAUGAGGCUGUUGAAAGGAAAAAAAGUGAGCCUCUAGGAAUUAUUCAAAAAAGUCUUUGAUACAUUCCUUUUCCUGCCAAAGUUCUGUCUCUGUCUUUGGCUUCUGUCCAGGCAAAGCUAAAUAAGAUAGCAAAGUCAAAGCAGAUAAAUUCUUGUUGAAACUUGACUAAAAUUUAUUUGAUUCGUUGUUUUACUCCCACUUGGAAUCCUGAGGUAGAAGACAGAAUGCAGAAGUCUUACAUCUUGGGCAGAAAGCUUGUUUAUUCCUAUACUCUUUUUUUCUCUUGCUUCUUCCUGAGGUGCCUAGAACAAGGUCUGGAAAUGUUUAGACAGGAUAUUUUCUUGAUGAAGUGAUAAGGAAAGGACCCAAUUUUUGCUUAUCACCUAGCCCAACCUUCACUCUCUCUAGUUAUGCAUAACAACACUAGGAGAAGGUGUUAGCCCAGCUAACUUUGCUUCUGGGAAGGCUGUGUCUGAACAUGUUGCUCUGUAGGAUAAUCACACUUACAAAACAUCUGCUCCAUGACAUUCACAAUACCAGGGACCAUGGGAGACACAAGAAAUGUGUGUCUGCUGUCAUAACUUAUAGUGAAAAAGCCCAAUAAUACAGAACAAGACAUGAUGGGCAAUACCCUAGCAUAUCGGGAUUAAGAGCUUUCUAGCCAGAAUCUGGACCUAUACCAUGGGAAAAUUUAGGGGUUCUGGGAAUCCCAAAGCCAAGGUUCUGGCUUCAUUGGCAACCCACUAGGAACUUGAAUGUGAGAUUCAGCUCUAGUUUGCACCUUGAUUUCCCCAGUGAAAAGGGAGAAGAGCCAAAAUAUUGUCUAGGUGCUGAGUUCCCUUUUCUGAGUGGAUUUCAGGCAUUUGCCAGGGUAUGCUGGAGGAGGGACUCCUAAGGUAGGUGAGAUGUGGGACUAGGUAACACUUUAAAUACUUUUUUACUCAAAGAUUUGCCAAGAACACAGCUUAUUAGUGAAAGAGACCUGUGGAUUGAAAUGCUGCAGAUAGAUCCCGCAGUCCCUUCUGAAAGGAACUGUGUAGCCAGCAGGGACCUAAACUUUGGCAAAAAGUGAACACAAUUCAAAUACGAAUGAAGCAAGAGCCCUCAAAUGGAACGAAAGGUGAUGUGCAAGGCCAUCCCAGAAAGACGGAAGCAGGUGUGAUACUAAUCCUCAGCCCAAGAAUAAAAGCGAGUUCAACU
ensembl:lncRNA